rnacentral:rRNA from 1 species
GUACGGUGCGAGCGUUAAUCGGAAUUACUGGGCGUAAAGCGUGCGCAGGCGGUUUUGCAAGCCGGAUGUGAAAUCCCCGGGCUUAACCUGGGAAUGGCAUUUGGGACUGCAAGGCUGGAGUGCGGCAGAGGAGACUGGAAUUCCUGGUGUAGCAGUGAAAUGCGUAGAUAUCAGGAGGAACACCGAUGGCGAAGGCAGGUCUCUGGGCUGACACUGACGCUCAUGCACGAAAGCGUGGGGAGCAAACAGGAUUAGAUACCCUGGUAGUCCACGCCCUAAACGAUGUCGACUGGUUGUUGGGGGUUUGACACUCUCAGUAACGAAGCUAACGCGUGAAGUCGACCGCCUGGGGAGUACGGCCGCAAGGUUA